CUACGGGACGCACCAGUGGGGAAUAUUGCACAAUGGGCGAAAGCCUGAUGCAGCAACGCCGCGUGAGUGAAGAAGGCCUUCGGGUCGUAAAACUCUUUUCUUGGGGAAGAAAUGAUGACGGUACCCAAGGAAUAAGCCCCGGCUAAUUACGUGCCAGCAGCCGCGGUAAUACGUAAGGGGCAAGCGUUAUCCGGAAUCACUGGGCGUAAAGGGUGCGUAGGUGGUCCUGUAAGUCAGAAGUGAAAGGCUACGGCUUAACCGUAGUAAGCUUUUGAAACUGUGGGACUUGAGUGCAGGAGAGGAAAGUGGAAUUCCUAGUGUAGCGGUGAAAUGCGUAGAUAUUAGGAGGAACACCAGUGGCGAAGGCGACUUUCUGGACUGUAACUGACACUGAGGCACGAAAGCGUGGGGAGCAAACAGGAUUAGAUACCCCCGUAGUC
rnacentral:rRNA from 1 species